ensembl:lncRNA
AAGACAGAACCUCCUCCUGGUUCCUCCUCUGAUCCUCCUCCUGGUUCCUCCUCUGAUCCUCCUCCUGGUUCCUCCUCUGAUCCUCCUCCUGGUUCCUCCUCCCGUCUCCUCCCUGUGUGGAUCUCCCUCUCCUCUCUCGUUGUGGUUCUCCUGCUGGUUCUCCUGCUGGUCUGGUUCUGCAGCAGGAACCCUGAAGGUGAGCAGCAGACUCCUGAAGGUUUGUCUCUUUAGACGGACGACUGUUGACGUUCUGGACGUUCUGUGUUCAGGCGCGGCAGCAGAACCUGAAGUCACCUACAGUGACGUCAACAUCCUGCAGCGUCAGCAGCAGCCGGUCAGACGGAGCAGAGAUGUGGAUCCAGUGUAUUCAGAUGUCAGAGUUCCAGAUGUUUCUUACGGACAAAUAGUCAUCAAAGAGAAACGAAGCCGAGGGAAGAAGUCAGAGAUUCCUCCAGAGCCUGACGUGGUCUACUCCUCCCUGAGGUGACCCCCCAGUCCAGACCCAUCCGGAUCCAUCCAGAUCCAGACCUCCACACUGCUGAGUUCUGCUGAGUUCUACUGAGUUCUACUGAGUUCUACUGAGUUCUGCUGAGUUCUGCUGAGUUCUACUGAGUUCUACUGAGUUCUACUGAGUUCUGCUGAGUUCUGCUGAGUUCUACUGAGUUCUGCAGCUUGCAGGCACAAAGUCAAAAUUUCCACAGGAAUUUUCUCAUUUUCACUUUUUCUUUAGAUUUUUAUUUUGUUCCUAUUGAGUUUUUGUUUAAUUCAAAAUGUGUGUUUUGGUUUUAUUUCUGGAUUUCUCUUCAGUUUGGGCUGCUUCUAUUGAGUUUUACUCACACAGGAGUCUGAAAAGGUUGACUGGAAUUGAACUGAAAGUCCUUUAUUUGUCCCACAGGGGAAACUGCAGUGUUUCAGGAGCAAGGAGGGAAGAAAUAGAAAUAGAACAGAAAAGUAAAAUGUGAGAAUUUAGAAGGCCUAAACAUACAUAGAUAAAUUAAAUAUAAUUUAAUUAUAAAUUUAGGAUAGAUAUAAUUAAAUAACAGAUAUAAACUAGCAUAAAUAAAUAAAAUAUAAUUCACAUAUAAAUCUAAGACAGAUAUAAUUAGAUAAAUAACAGAUAUGCACUAAUAGGUGUAAAUUAAAUAUACAUUUAAGACAGAACGCAUAUGUACAAUAUCAUAGAAAAAUGUGAGAAAUAAAAAGAUCUGUACACAGGAGUUUCCCAGAGCUGAAUGGAUGAUGGACGACUGCACAUCUUAAGUUAAGGUGAAGAUUUUCUUUUGAGUUUUAAGUUAGAACAGUUUGUCCAUCCAUCCAUCUUCUACCGGUUAUCCGGGCCGGGUCGCGGGGGCAGCAGUCUCAGCAGGGAUGCCCAGACUUCCCUGUCCACAGACUCUUCCUCCAGCUCCUCUGGGAGCAGUUGAACAGUUUGUUUUAGUUUUAUUGAGUUUUGUCCAUCUUUUAUUGAGUUGAAUCCUGUUUUUAUUGAGUUUUAUUCAGUUUGACAUGUUAUUAUGGAGCUUUAUCAGGUUUUAUUCAGUUUUCUUCUCUGUCGUCUCUCUGAUGGUUAAACAGUCGUUCCUCUUUUUAAAUAAACAAAUUCAUCUUCCUUCUUCUGUUCUCUGGAGGUUUUUCACACUUUGCUGGUUCUCGCUGCUGUGCUGUUGUUCUGUAUUUAGUUGUACUGGUUUUGGUUUUAACUGAAGCUUCUGUUGGUGAAGAAUAAACGUCGGUUUCAGAGUCU